CAGUUACUGCUAGUCCGCGAGACUGGACGACUGUGGAAACGAAGAAUUUAACUUUAGACUCCAUUUGGGAAUCUGCUUGUAUCAAAACAAGUUGAGAGCCUCUUUGAUCAGUGUGGGUAACCAAACAGGAUCUGAGAACAAAGUCUAAUGAGGCUAAGGAGAAGCGUGACGAGGAGAGAUAGAAGAAGAUAGACAACGUCCCUUGACAUUGCACAGGAGCAACGCAGCCAGACGACAGCCAGCAUUGGAUAGCAACUAACCCAGCAAGGACACACGGUUCUUCGAAGAUUUUGGUAAUCACAGUGACUGAUUAUCGAUCAUCACUGGUGGUUGCGACACAGACCUGCGUGAAAAACGAGAGAGAGAGAGAGUAGUAGUAGGAGCAGCUCGUAUGCCGGAUUUUUUUAAUAAGUCCUGCGUCAUGGGUCGUAUGAAUGAGUUGACGUCGCUGUUCCCAAGAUGUCGAUUGGUCUUCCUACUGGUGAUUAUGGCGACGGUGGAUCAACAUGGCUGUGCUGCUGCAUCGCACGAA